rnacentral:rRNA from 1 species
UACAGAGGUCUCAAGCGUUGUUCGGAUUCAUUGGGCGUAAAGGGUGCGUAGGCGGCGCGGUAAGUCGGGUGUGAAAUCUCGGAGCUUAACUCCGAAACUGCAUUCGAUACUGCCGUGCUUGAGGACUGGAGAGGAGACUGGAAUUUACGGUGUAGCGGUGAAAUGCGCAGAUAUCAGGAGGAACACCGGUGGCGAAGGCGGUUCUCUGGGCCUGUACUGACGCUGAGGAACGAAAGCGUGGGGAGCGAACAGG